UACAGGGGGUGCAAACGUUGCUCGGAAUCAUUGGGCGUAAAGCGCACGUAGGCGGUUCGUUAUGUCGGAUGUGAAAGCCCUUGGCUUAACCGAGGAAGUGCAUCCGAAACUGGCGAGCUAGAGUACUAAAGAGGAUCGCGGAAUUCCCGGUGUAGAGGUGAAAUGCGCAGAUAUCGGGAGGAACACCGGUGGCGAAGGCGGUUCUCUGGGCCUUACCUGACGCUGAGGAGCGAAAGCGUGGGGAGCGAACAGG
rnacentral:rRNA from 1 species